rnacentral:rRNA from 1 species
CCUACGGGAGGCUGCAGUGGGGAAUAUUGGGCAAUGGGCGCAAGCCUGACCCAGCAACGCCGCGUGAGGGAAGAAGGCUUUCGGGUUGUAAACUUCUUUUCUCAGGGACGAAGAAAGUGACGGUACCUGAGGAAUAAGCCACGGCUAACUACGUGCAAGCACCCGCGGUAAUACGUAGGUGGCAAGCGUUAGCAGGAUUUAUGGGGUGUAAAGGGCGUGUAGGGGGGAGCGCAAGGCAGGUGUGAAAACUCAGGGCUCAACCCUGAGCGUGCAUUUGAAACUGUGUGUCUUGAGUGGUGGAGAGGCAAGCGGAAUUCCGGGUGUAGCGGUGAAAUGCGUAGAUAUAAGGAGGAACACCAGUGGCGAAGGCGGAUUGCUGGACAGUAACUGACGCUGAGGCGCGAAAGCGUGGGGAGCAAACAGGAUUAGAUACCCUUGUAGUC